AUUGAACGCUGGCGGCAGGCCUAACACAUGCAAGUCGAGCGGAUGAAGGGAGCUUGCUCCUGGAUUCAGCGGCGGACGGGUGAGUAAUGCCUAGGAAUCUGCCUGGUAGUGGGGGAUAACGUCCGGAUACGGGCGCUAAUACCGCAUACGUCCUGAGGGAGAAAGUGGGGGAUCUUCGGACCUCACGCUAUCAGAUGAGCCUAGGUCGGAUUAGCUAGUUGGUGGGGUAAAGGCCUACCAAGGCGACGAUCCGUAACUGGUCUGAGAGGAUGAUCAGUCACACUAGAACGGAAACGCGGUCCAGACUACUACGGGAGGCAGCAGUGUGGAAUAUAAGACAAUGGGGGAAAGCCUGAUCCAGCCGUGCAGCGUGUGUUGAGAAGGUCUUCGGGUUGUAAAGCACUUUAAGUUGGGAGGAAGGGCAGUAAGUUAAUACCUUGCUGUUUUGACGUUACCAACAGAAUAAGCACCGGCUAACUUCGUG
rnacentral:rRNA from 1 species